rnacentral:rRNA from 1 species
AGCGAACGCUGGCGGCAGGCCUAACACAUGCAAGUCGAACGAACUCUUCGGAGUUAGUGGCGGACGGGUGAGUAACACGUGGGAACGUGCCUUUUGGUUCGGAAUAACUCAGGGAAACUUGUGCUAAUACCGAAUGUGCCCUUCGGGGGAAAGAUUUAUCGCCAUUAGAGCGGCCCGCGUCUGAUUAGCUAGUUGGUGAGGUAACGGCUCACCAAGGCGACGAUCAGUAGCUGGUCUGAGAGGAUGACCAGCCACACUGGGACUGAGACACGGCCCAGACUCCUACGGGAGGCAGCAGUGGGGAAUCUUGCGCAAUGGGCGAAAGCCUGACGCAGCCAUGCCGCGUGAAUGAUGAAGGUCUUAGGAUUGUAAAAUUCUUUCACCGGGGACGAUAAUGACGGUACCCGGAGAAGAAGCCCCGGCUAACUUCGUGC